rnacentral:lncRNA from 1 species
UUUCUUUCUUGCUACUUAUAUUAUUAUAAUUUGUCCUGUAUUUUGGAGAAGAGAGGACACUUUUUCUCAUUCCUCCUCCUCGAGUACCAAUUUGACCAUUUGCACAACCUCACUUAGCAAAUCAGGACAGGACAAAGAUCUGGUUUGCUAAGGAGCUUCAGUGACUUCUGUUUCCUGAAAUUAACAGUGAUUAGUUACACCAAGCAAGAGAAUAUAUAAUGUCUCUUCUCACAUACUUGCUUAGCUUGUCCCGUAAAGUCCAUUUGGUUCCCAAAGCACACUCAAGGUUUAUAUUCACUUUCAUUUUUUCAGCCCCUGAAUUUGCAAGGAUCUGCACAGUAAAGAAUCACUGACUAACAGAAUUUUGCACAAUUGCUGUUUUCUUUCCCUCAAUGAAGAUGCCCAGAUUUAGGUUCAAAGGUGUGUGCCUAUUCACACCAACUGGUCCAUACCAGCCUUCAACAUUUCCAAAUAGCUCUUUACUGUCUGUUUUAGAGAAUAGACUACGCUGGGCCACCUCCCUCAACUGAUGAAGGCACUACUGGCAAUGAUUACUAACAAAAAGGCGUUGAAAUAGAACACCCUAAAAAUCGAAGACUGUAGGAUUUUCUAAGUGUACCACAAUUUGGCACAACAACCAGAGUAACAAAACAAUUCCAAUUUGGAAUUUCACUGGUACAGUUGUAUAAAAUUCUGUUAAUCAGUCAUGCUUCACAAUGUCCUAAA